rnacentral:rRNA from 1 species
GUUAGCGGCGGACGGGUGAGUAACACGUGGGUAACCUGCCUGUAAGACUGGGAUAACUCCGGGAAACCGGGGCUAAUACCGGAUGCUUGUUUGAACCGCAUGGUUCAAACAUAAAAGGUGGCUUCGGCUACCACUUACAGAUGGACCCGCGGCGCAUUAGCUAGUUGGUGAGGUAAUGGCUCACCAAGGCGACGAUGCGUAGCCGACCUGAGAGGGUGAUCGGCCACACUGGGACUGAGACACGGCCCAGACUCCUACGGGAGGCAGCAGUAGGGAAUCUUCCGCAAUGGACGAAAGUCUGACGGAGCAACGCCGCGUGAGUGAUGAAGGUUUUCGGAUCGUAAAGCUCUGUUGUUAGGGAAGAACAAGUACCGUUCGAAUAGGGCGGUACCUUGACGGUACCUAACCAGAAAGCCACGGCUAACUACGUGCCAGCAGCCGCGGUAAUACGUAGGUGGCAAGCGUUGUCCGGAAUUAUUGGGCGUAAAGGGCUCGCAGGCGGUUUCUUAAGUCUGAUGUGAAAGCCCCCCGGCUCAACCGGGGAGGGUCAUUGGAAACUGGGGAACUUGAGUGCAGAAGAGGAGAGUGGAAUUCCACGUGUAGCGGUGAAAUGCGUAGAGAUGUGGAGGAACACCAGUGGCGAAGGCGACUCUCUGGUCUGUAACUGACGCUGAGGAGCGAAAGCGUGGGGAGCGAACAGGAUUAGAUACCCUGGUAGUCCACGCCGUAAACGAUGAGUGCUAAGUGUUAGGGGGUUUCCGCCCCUUAGUGCUGCAGCUAACGCAUUAAGCACUCCGCCUGGGGAGUACGGUCGCAAGACUGAAACUCAAAGGAAUUGACGGGGGCCCGCACAAGCGGUGGAGCAUGUGGUUUAAUUCGAAGCAACGCGAAGAACCUUACCAGGUCUUGACAUCCUCUGACAAUCCUAGAGAUAGGACGUCCCCUUCGGGGGCAGAGUGACAGGUGGUGCAUGGUUGUCGUCAGCUCGUGUCGUGAGAUGUUGGGUUAAGUCCCGCAACGAGCGCAACCCUUGAUCUUAGUUGCCAGCAUUCAGUUGGGCACUCUAAGGUGACUGCCGGUGACAAACCGGAGGAAGGUGGGGAUGACGUCAAAUCAUCAUGCCCCUUAUGACCUGGGCUACACACGUGCUACAAUGGACAGAACAAAGGGCAGCGAAACCGCGAGGUUAAGCCAAUCCCACAAAUCUGUUCUCAGUUCGGAUCGCAGUCUGCAACUCGACUGCGUGA